rnacentral:rRNA from 1 species
AGAGUUUGAUCAUGGCUCAGGACGAACGCUGGCGGCGUGCUUAACACAUGCAAGUCGAACGGUAAGGCCCUUCGGGGUACACGAGUGGCGAGCGGGUGAGUAACACGUGGGUAAUCUGCCCUGCACAUCGGGAUAAGCCUGGGAAACUGGGUCUAAUACCGAAUAGGACCACAGGACACAUGUCCUGUGGUGGAAAGCUUUUGCGGUGUGGGAUGGGCCCGCGGCCUAUCAGCUUGUUGGUGGGGUGAUGGCCUACCAAGGCGACGACGGGUAGCCGGCCUGAGAGGGUGUCCGGCCACACUGGGACUGAGAUACGGCCCAGACUCCUACGGGAGGCAGCAGUGGGGAAUAUUGCACAAUGGGCGAAAGCCUGAUGCAGCGACGCCGCGUGGGGGAUGACGGCCUUCGGGUUGUAAACCUCUUUCACCAUCGACGAAGGUCCGGGUUUUCUCGGGCUGACGGUAGGUGGAGAAGAAGCACCGGCCAACUACGUGCCAGCAGCCGCGGUAAUACGUAGGGUGCGAGCGUUGUCCGGAAUUACUGGGCGUAAAGAGCUCGUAGGUGGUUUGUCGCGUUGUUCGUGAAAUCUCACGGCUUAACUGUGAGCGUGCGGGCGAUACGGGCAGACUUGAGUACUGCAGGGGAGACUGGAAUUCCUGGUGUAGCGGUGGAAUGCGCAGAUAUCAGGAGGAACACCGGUGGCGAAGGCGGGUCUCUGGGCAGUAACUGACGCUGAGGAGCGAAAGCGUGGGGAGCGAACAGGAUUAGAUACCCUGGUAGUCC